rnacentral:rRNA from 1 species
AGUCGUAACAAGGUCUCCGUUGGUGAACCAGCGGAGGGAUCAUUACCGAGUUUACAACUCCCAAACCCAUGUGAACAUACCUAUUGUUGCUUCGGCGGGAUUGCCCCGGGCGCCUCGUGUGCCCCGGAUCAGGCGCCCGCCUAGGAACUUUAACUCUUGUUUUAUUUUGAAUCUUCUGAGUAGUUUUUACAAAUAAAUAAAAACUUUCAACAACGGAUCUCUUGGUUCUGGCAUCGAUGAAGAACGCAGCGAAAUGCGAUAAGUAAUGUGAAUUGCAGAAUUCAGUGAAUCAUCGAAUCUUUGAACGCACAUUGCGCCCGCCAGUAUUCUGGCGGGCAUGCCUGUCUGAGCGUCAUUUCAACCCUCAUGCCCCUAGGGCGUGGUGUUGGGGAUCGGCUAAAGCCCGCGAGGGACGGCCGGCCCCUAAAUCUAGUGGCGGACCCGUCGUGGCCUCCUCUGCGAAGUAGUGAUAUUCCGCAUCGGAGAGCGACGAGCCCCUGCCGUUAAACCCCCA